rnacentral:rRNA from 1 species
AGAGUUUGAUCCUGGCUCAGGAUGAACGCUGGCGGCGUGCUUAACACAUGCAAGUCGAACGGACAGGUAAUGAAACCUAGUGAUUUAUCUGUUAGUGGCGGACGGGUGAGUAACGCGUGGGUAACCUGCCGUAUACAGGGGGAUAACACUUAGAAAUAGGUGCUAAAACCGCAUAAGCGCACAGGAUCGCAUGGUCCGGUGUGAAAAACUCCGGUGGUAUACGAUGGACCCGCGUCUGAUUAGCUUGUUGGCGGGGUAGAGGCCCACCAAGGCGACGAUCAGUAGCCGGCCUGAGAGGGUGAACGGCCACAUUGGGACUGAGACACGGCCCAAACUCCUACGGGAGGCAGCAGUGGGGAAUAUUGCACAAUGGGGGAAACCCUGAUGCAGCGACGCCGCGUGGGUGAAGAAGUAUUUCGGUAUGUAAAGCUCUAUCAGCAGGAAAGAAAAUGACGGUACCUGACUAAGAAGCCCCGGCUAACUACGUG